rnacentral:rRNA from 1 species
AACGCUAGCUACAGGCUUAACACAUGCAAGUCGAGGGGCAGCAUGAACUUAGCUUGCUAAGUUUGAUGGCGACCGGCGCACGGGUGAGUAACACGUAUCCAGCCUGCCGAUGACUCGGGGAUAGCCUUUCGAAAGAAAGAUUAAUACCCGAUGGCAUAGUUCUUCCGCAUGGUAGAACUAUUAAAGAAUUUCGGUCAUCGAUGGGGAUGCGUUCCAUUAGGUUGUUGGCGGGGUAACGGCCCACCAAGCCUUCGAUGGAUAGGGGUUCUGAGAGGAAGGUCCCCCACAUUGGAACUGAGACACGGUCCAAACUCCUACGGGAGGCAGCAGUGAGGAAUAUUGGUCAAUGGACGAGAGUCUGAACCAGCCAAGUAGCGUGAAGGAUGACUGCCCUAUGGGUUGUAAACUUCUUUUAUACGGGAAUAAAGUGAGGCACGUGUGCCUUUUUGUAUGUACCGUAUGAAUAAGAAUCGGCCAACUCCGUGCCAGCAGCCGCGGUAAUACGGAGGAUCCGAGCGUUAUCCGGAUUUAUUGGGUCUAAAGGGAGCGUAGGCGGACGCUUAAGUCAGUUGUGAAAGUUUGCGGCUCAACCGUAAAAUUGCAGUUGAUACUGGCGACCUUGAGUGCAACAGAGGUAGGCGGAAUUCGUGGUGUAGCGGUGAAAUGCUUAGAUAUCACGAAGAACUCCGAUUG